GGGUGCGAUCAUACCAGCACUAAUGCACYGGAUCCCAUCAGAACUCCGCAGUUAAGCGUGCUUGGGCGAGAGUAGUACUAGGAUGGGUGACCCCCUGGUAAGKCCUCGUKUUGCACCCC
rnacentral:rRNA from 1 species